GCCCGGAUACCUCAUUCGGUAGAGCAUCAGACUUUUAAUCUGAGGGUCCAGGGUUCAAGUCCCUAUUUUGGCA
rfam:Danio rerio chromosome 4, GRCz11 reference primary assembly.